AGUGAACGCUGGCGGUAGGCCUAACACAUGCAAGUCGAACGGCAGCACAGUAAGAGCUUGCUCUUACGGGUGGCGAGUGGAGGACGGGUGAGGAAUACAUCGGAAUCUACUUUUUCGUGGGGGAUAACGUAGGGAAACUUACGCUAAUACCGCAUACGACCUACGGGUGAAAGCAGGGGAUCUUCGGACCUUGCGCGAUUGAAUGAGCCGAUGUCGGAUUAGCUAGUUGGCGGGGUAAAGGCCCACCAAGGCGACGAUCCGUAGCUGGUCUGAGAGGAUGAUCAGCCACACUGGAACUGAGACACGGUCCAGACUCCUACGGGAGGCAGCAGUGGGGAAUAUUGGACAAUGGGCGCAAGCCUGAUCCAGCCAUACCGCGUGUGUGAAGAAGGCCUUCGGGUUGUAAAGCCCUUUUGUUGGGAAAGAAAAGCAGCAGGUUAAUACCCCGCUGUUCUGACGGUACCCAAAGAAUAAGCACCGGCUAACUUCGUG
rnacentral:rRNA from 1 species